UUGUUUUAGCACAGUUUAAUUCCUCAGAAGGUUGGUUUAAUUCAUCACAAGUAUUACAGGUACUAUUUAUUGGAGCCCUCAAUGGACUUCAACUCGCUCAGGUCAGCUCCAAGACCGUCCCCAUCACUCUAGUCCUGGCCGGAAAUCACUAAGAGACUCUCACUUUCCACCUCAUCGAUCACUCCAGUCCACCUCUCGUCCUGGGAUAUCCGUGGUUAAAUACUCACAACCUGCACUUUGACUGGGCCAAGAAUGAAACUGUUUCCUGGAGCUUGGAUUAUCAUGCUUGCUGGAGGUGUGCACAGAUGUUUGACUCACCAGUACCCCCAGUUACUGAUGAGCAAUGAAGUGACAUUGUUUACCACAAUAUAAGCAAGCAUUUGUGUUUCUACAGAAUGUCUUCUCUUGAGUGGUGCUAAACUGCGCUCAAUCAAGUUGCAUUGGCUCAGGUUCAGGACUUGAUAAAGGGGAGAAAGCAUGGACAGAACAAGAAAAAAAAACAAAAAAUAAAAUUGCCCGACAGAA